GGGCAGGGGGGUCACUCCCAACCCCUGUGACAUACCACUUGUUGCCUCGGCGGAUCAGCCCGCUCCCGGUAAAACGGGACGGCCCGCCAGAGGACCCCUAAACUCUGUUUCUAUAUGUAACUUCUGAGUAAAACCAUAAAUAAAUCAAAACUUUCAACAACGGAUCUCUUGGUUCUGGCAUCGAUGAAGAACGCAGCAAAAUGCGAUAAGUAAUGUGAAUUGCAGAAUUCAGUGAAUCAUCGAAUCUUUGAACGCACAUUGCGCCCGCCAGUAUUCUGGCGGGCAUGCCUGUUCGAGCGUCAUUUCAACCCUCAAGCACAGCUUGGUGUUGGGACUCGCGUUAAUUCGCGUUCCUCAAAUUGAUUGGCGGUCACGUCGAGCUUCCAUAGCGUAGUAGUAAAACCCUCGUUACUGGUAUCCUCCCGCCACGCCGUAAACCCCCACUUCUGAAGGUGACUCGGAUCCAGGUAAGAAAACCCGCCAGAAAAAAACAUAUCAAUAAGCGGAG
rnacentral:rRNA from 1 species